UUUUUUUUUUUUUUUUUGGGGUUUAAUUUCAAGUCAUAAAUUGUAGAUCGGUAUGGCUAGGCAUGGAUGGUUGCCGGAUUUGAGGGUGGGGUGAUAAUGGGUAAAAAAGGACGGCGACUUGGGCAGAAAUUUUGGGGCAAACGACGAGUUGGUGGAGAUGGUGGACAUGGCUGAAACAUGUUAUUUGUGUGAAGAUAAUGACGCUAUUUCCCUUCAAAAGCUCUCUACCUCUAUUUUUUCAUGGGAUCCUUCUUACUCCACCUUAUUGCUUCAUUUCAUUUCGUUGAAGUUGACUUUCAAUCAAAGGAAAUGGUUUGAGUAUAUUUUCAGCUACCGUUAGAAACAGAAGUUUAGAGAGUUAUUUGGUUUAUUCAUUUAGAAUGUGAAAAUUGUAUAGAGGCAUGGAAGGAUGGUGACGCGUUGAUGAAUCUUUUAAAGCUUAAUUAUGCACUACCACUACCUCAUUAUGAAAAGUUUAUGGACGAAAUGAUGUUCCUUGUCAACAAAGCUUGAAUGAUGUAUGAAAAGCUCCAACGACUUCCAAAUGCUCAAGUCAGCAAGAAAGCAGGGCCGUUGAUUUUCAGCUUUCAGGCCAUAGAAAUGAAGUUCCCAACAAGCUCACCAUUUUCCUUGGAGAACACUGGCUACCAGAACUAUUUUGAAGCUUUAAUUGAAAAGCAAGCAAACUUUGCUAAAAAAGAGGCUGAAGCUUUGGCUAUGGUGGAGUCUUUAUAUCUGCCGAGCUUCAGAGGUUUCUACACCCAGGUAAACAUUAUGGAUCACUUAGUUUAGUGGUACUUGGAGAUAUGAGAAGCAAAGGAGCUUUCAACCAAUUCCAAGUUGCUUUACAGGAGCUAAUUUCUACAACAAUGGAUUAAUCAGUACCUGAACAUGACAGCUUUUGGAGUCAUUUACCAAAAUCAAAAUAGCAAAGAGCUUGCAAAAGCAGUGGUACAGUGGCAAGUUCUGACGGAAGGAAACAAAGAUGCUGGCAAGUUUGGAUCAACAUUCUUUUCUAUUCUUAAUUCGAUAUGCCUUCACCAAGAACAUGUUAGCAGUUUUGGCCGUUUAUUUUGAAUGAAACAUAUCUAUGGGGUAUGAAGUCAUGCAAGCACUGAACCAGCAGGAAACAAAGAUACUGACAGGUUCAUAUCAACCGUUCUUUUCUCUUCUUAAUCCUGUAUGCCUUCACCAAGAACAUGUUAGCAGUUUUGGCCAUUUAUUUUGAAUGAAAUAAGUCUAUGAUAACUUGAUUAUGCCUUCAUUAUCACUAUGCCAUGCUAAUUAGGAUUUCUAAUCUUUUUUUCUCCCCCUCUAUAAAUAUUUUGGCAUAUAUAAGAUUGACACCUAAUUCAAAGUUGAUUCUUGCAGGCCCCUCUGCUAGAUUUUUCUAUUUGUGCAUCGCCAUUGUUUGUCUAUGUAUAUAUAUAAGGUUGUCUAUGAACCGACCUUUAAUGUGAAGUUUCCAUCGUUUUUUGACAUAAAUUAUUUGCAAGGUUGUGCCAAACAAAGUAUGCUAGAAAUUUCUUAAUACUUUAUUUUUUGUUGAAAUAAAAAUUUCUUACUACUUCUCA